UCAGUAUAAGUCUUUACACGUCGAAACUGCGAAUGGCUCAUUAAAACAGUUAUAGUUUAUUUGAUGGUCACUCGUUAUUUGGAUAACUGUGGUAAUUCUAGAGCUAAUACAUGCAUAAAAACGCGACUUCUCGGAAGCGUUGUAUUUAUUAGAUACAGAACCAAUCGGGCAACCGUUUUUGGAUGAUUCAUAAUAAAUGUACGGAGCGCAUGGCUUGUGCCGGCACUGUGUCAUUCAAGUUUCUGACCUAUCAGCUUUCGACGGUAGGGUAUUGGCCUACCGUGGCAUUGACGGGUAACGGAGAAUUAGGGUUCGAUUCCGGAGAGGGAGCCCGAGAAACGGCUACCACAUCUAAGGAAGGCAGCAGGCGCGCAAAUUACCCAAUCACGACACGUGGAGGUAGUGACAAGAAAUAACAAAGCAAGCCUGUAUUCAGGUUUUGCUAUUGGAAUGAGUAGAAUUUAAAUCUCUUUACGACUAUCAAUUGGAGGGCAAGUCUGGUGCCAGCAGCCGCGGUAAUUCCAGCUCCAAUAGCGUAUAUUAAAGUUGUUGCGGUUAAAAAGCUCGUAGUUGGAUUUCUGUUGAGGACGUCCGGUCCGCACUAUGUGCGUGUAUCUGGUUCGGCCUUGGCAUCCUCUUGAGGAACGUUUCUGCGCUUGAUUGCGUGGGGCGGUAUUCAAGACUUUUACUUUGAGGAAAUUAGAGUGUUCACGGCAGGCAAGCGCCUUGAAUACAUUAGCAUGGAAUAAUAAUAUAGGAUCUUGGUUCUAUUUUGUUGGUUUCUAGAGCUAAGAUAAUGAUUAAU
rnacentral:rRNA from 1 species